GGGCUUGUGGUCUAGCGGUAUGACAUCUUCUUAGCAUUCAGCCUCUUUCGAGAUGUGUGUGGAUCCUGAGAUGGAGAAGGUUCCGCGUUCGACUCGCGGCUAGUCCA